GAUCCUGGCUCAGGACGAACGCUGGCGGCGUGCCUAACACAUGCAAGUCGAACGGAGAUGUUUAUUUCGGUAGAUAUCUUAGUGGCGCACGGGUGAGUAACGCGUGAAUAACCUGACCCGAAGAGGGGGAUAACACCUGGAAACAAGUGCUAAUACCGCAUAAGACCACGGACCGGCAUCGGUCAGAGGUCAAAGGAGGAAUCCGCUUUGGUAGGGGGUCGGGUCGUCCCACUAGUUAGGUUGGGUUGGAGGUAACGGGACCCGACCCAACGACCGACCGG
rnacentral:rRNA from 1 species